CAGUUUCCUCCCUUUGUGAUGUACUACGAGAGAAACGGCCAAACCCGCAUCUACGGACUGUCGGCCUCGGGCAUUGACAAUGUUACGGCUGCCCUAAAUAUCAGCUACCGCAUUGUGAAACCUCCAGACAUGCAGUGGGGGACCAAGAGUCCCGAAGGUGUGUACACCGGCAUGUUGAGGGAUACGUAUUUAAAAAGGGCGAACAUUGGGUUUGGCCCAUUCAAUAUGGAAGACUACCUUGUCGGACGUGUACGACUUCGUUGAAAUAGGAAUCACCAGCGGAGUCCAAGAUGUCGCCACGGGAAACUUCCGCAUUCUCAGCGCAUUUGAUUUAACCACGUGGACCUGCCUUUUGAUCUCGGUGGCUGCACUGAGCCUCAUAAUACCUGCGCUGAGGCACAUUUCUACAAAGGCCGAAGGCGACGCUCGAAAGCUAGCGAGCAAAGUUGCUUCAAACU
rnacentral:lncRNA from 1 species